ensembl:lncRNA
CUCCACACAAUCUGACCGCAAAAGGUCAGUUUUGCAAAUUGGGUUCAUUAAUCUUUAAUAGUACAGCAACUCCACAGAACCUCUUCAUCCAUGCCUGCAGAUUAAAAUGAAUCAUAUGCUCAGAAAGAUUAGUCUGUUGGGAAACUUUAUUGGGUCAGAUGAAAACUGUCCAGAGAGUCUGGAACCUUUGGGCUUACUGAAAGUGAGGAAAAAAAUUAAAUAAAAACACCUGAAUGACACACUUUUUUAAAGAUUUAUUUUUUGCCAUUUUUAUUUUGAUAGGACAGUAUAGUAGCGACAGGAAGCAAAGUAGAUGAGAGAGGGCAGGCGGGAUUGGGAAAGGUCCACAAGCCGGGACUUGAACUCAGGACGCCGGAGCGCAACAGCGCUAUAUGACAGUGCACUGCCCACAAGGCUAUUGGCGCCGACAACACACUUUACUCUUAUCUGUUAGAGCUACAGGCUUGGAUAGAGGAUGCUAGCAUUUCUCUGCUGUGAAAUAACAGUUAUUUCCACAGUAUCAACUGUAGUUAUAGCCCUGUUUUUCUUCAGAUGGACUGUUUGACAGCUGUUGUCUCUUUUCUGGACAGGACUGUGAAAACUGACAUUUCUAACAGCCAUGUCCUCCUUCAUGCCCCACUGAAUGAGAUGAAAUAUCAUCUGUUGCUGUUUCUAAAGCCUCUAGUGGACCAGCACAUAGCAAAGGCCUCGCCUACACUCACAACUCCAAUGAGGUUCACUCAGGGAUGAGAUUCACCCUUGCAAAAGUGCUGAGCCAGCAAGAGGCCAUGCGCGGGAAAUAUCACAAUUCUUUGCUGCAGAUGAGCGGGUGUUUCAUCAGAGAAUGAGGGCAACUUAUAGCCUGGGUGCCAGCCCGAACCCCGCCCACAACAUUUUUUGGACGGGAAGUUCGGUCUGGACUCGAUCCAUUGAGGAGUAAUUAUGUUCGGCUCCCAGAAGGCCGAGCCAAUCAAAUUGCCAGGGCGGGCUUUAAUCGAUGAUGGACAGGCUAUCUGCGGUUACGUAAGAUAGGGCGUCUUGGAAGGUAGGCUCACGAUCUCUUUUCUCUGAAGCCUCAGAUGAACACGCUUCUUCAGCCUUGUCUCUUUCGUUGUCUUUCCAUUUUUUAAAGUUAGUCAAGUCGCGUUGCAACCGUGUAAUAAAGUUGAGACAGGGCCGACA